ACGGGUGAGUAACGCGUGGGAAUCUACCGUGCCCUGCGGAAUAGCUCCGGGAAACUGGAAUUAAUACCGCAUACGCCCUACGGGGGAAAGAUUCAUCGGGGUAUGAUGAGCCCGCGUUGGAUUAGCUAGUUGGUGGGGUAAAGGCCUACCAAGGCGACGAUCCAUAGCUGGUCUGAGAGGAUGAUCAGCCACAUUGGGACUGAGACACGGCCCAAACUCCUACGGGAGGCAGCAGUGGGGAAUAUUGGACAAUGGGCGCAAGCCUGAUCCAGCCAUGCCGCGUGAGUGAUGAAGGCCUUAGGGUCGUAAAGCUCUUUCACCGGAGAAGAUAAUGACGGUAUCCGGAGAAGAAGCCCCGGCUAACUUCGUGCCAGCAGCCGCGGUAAUACGAAGGGGGCUAGCGUUGUUCGGAAUUACUGGGCGUAAAGCGCACGUAGGCGGAUAUUUAAGUCAGGGGUGAAAUCCCAGAGCUCAACUCUGGAACUGCCUUUGAUACUGGGUAUCUUGAGUAUGGAAGAGGUAAGUGGAAUUCCGAGUGUAGAGGUGAAAUUCGUAGA
rnacentral:rRNA from 1 species